CUGAAGGUGAAUAAACACUAAUUUGUUUGCGUGUGAAUAAGGCAUCAUUUAUGUAGCAACUUCUACAGAUUGGGUACUGGAGAUUUUUCCAAAACGAAUAAUGCUCCUGCUUUUGAGCUUACAAUGUAGUAGGAAAGAUAAACAGAGUGUGAUAAGUGACAUCAUAAAGGCACAAACAAAUUCCUGUGAGCACAAAGUGGAAAGCCCCUGAGCUGGAAAAUAGCACUGAGGUGGUUUCAUGAAAGAGGAAGCAGCAAGGCUGGGCCUUGAAGAACGUGAAGGAGUCACCCAGCUAGAGAGGGCAGGAGGGUGUUCCACGAAGUACAAACAUCAUGAACAGAAAGUCAAAGAGUGAAAGUGAAGGGAGGAUUGGGGAGCAGUGAACAGACAAUGUGAGAGAGCUGCGGCACCAUGGAGAAGAGUAAUGAGAGGGACAUCCUGAAGGAAAGACAAUAUGAAGGACUGUCGAUGCCAAAGAAAGGACUUUCAGCCAUAUGCACGCAAUGGGGAGCAAUGCAAGAUUGUCAACCAAGAGACUGAGGUGCUGCUACCACAAACAUGAGGAAACUUCUGUUAGGAGUUCAACCUUCAGAGAGGACAGCUGGCAGUGCAAGAUGGUGACAGCCCUGCAAUCAGGAGAAGAAAGUCAUGAGAGUAAGGAAUGAUGGAGAGGGAUGAGAGCGUUUUCUAGGAUUUGAAGAGUUAAGAGACUCUGAAUAAUUGGCAGGGGAAGCUGGGAUGGAGAACAAAGUAGGAGAAGAAUCAUUUGCUGUGAACUCUGUAUUUGGAUUCCAUUUUUGAUGAUCUUUGAAAAUGGGAAUAAAGG
rnacentral:lncRNA from 1 species